rnacentral:rRNA from 1 species
UACAGAGGUCUCAAGCGUUGUUCGGAUUCAUUGGGCGUAAAGGGUGCGUAGGCGGCGCGGUAAGUCGGGUGUGAAAUCUCGGAGCUUAACUCCGAAACUGCAUUCGAUACUGCCGUGCUUGAGGACUGGAGAGGAGACUGGAAUUUACGGUGUAGCGGUGAAAUGCGUAGAUAUCGUAAGGAAGACCAGUGGCGAAGGCGGGUCUCUGGACAGUUCCUGACGCUGAGGCACGAAGGUCAGGGGAGCAAACGGU